rnacentral:ncRNA from 3 species
ACCUCGGAUCAGGUAGGGAUACCCGCU